rnacentral:lncRNA from 1 species
CUGCAGACCCAGCCCCAGAAUUUUCCAGUGCAUUUCCUGUGUGGCCCUCUUGGGCUGGUCACACCGGCUCUCAGUGCAAUGGUUCUGAUGGACUGUGUGCCAGCUUCAAGUGUUUGGCCAACUCCAGCAACUUCUGGUCCUUUCUCCAGAGAGAGGGUAUGGAAGCUGGAAGCUGUACUGACCAGGCCACUUUGUUAGUUGUUCUAGGAAGUCUUACUCCUACUUGGCAAACAAAAUGUAUAGACAGAGGUUUGGCUGGAGCAAUGGGUGUCACAACUGCUGCAGUCCCAGUUCAUUCGCAGUGCCAUGAAGGGAUGGAGCUGCCAUCACGGAGACACCGAUGCUUAGAACCAGUUCUUGCAGAAAUAUGUAGACGGAGAGAAGGAUGGAGCCCCAGAUGUUUGGGAUGGGGUCCAAGGUUUCGUGGUCUGGGCCCCGCUGCCUCUUCAACCUCCUGGCUGGCCAUUUCCCCACAUACAUCUCUAUUUCAAGCUUUCUAAAG